AGACAUCACUUGUGAACCACUGGGAGCCACACCCAAGCUUUAUCCUGCGAGAAGUCCAAGGCUAUGGAGAGAAAGACGUCUUUGCCUCUCCAAUGAAUUAGUGCCACAUUGGGAAACAAUACGGAGACCAGCAAAAACCAAACAGAGAAUUGCUGGAAGACUUGGAGUUCUGUGUACAUACCCUAAAGAGUUAGGAGUUUAAGCAGAUGUUUGCACACCUAUGUUCACUGGCAGCGCCUUGCAGUAACCGGAUGGUGGAAACUGCUGGGGAUUUGUUUAGAGACGAGUGCACAAGGAUUUCUCUGGGUGUCUUGGAAUUUGCUCUGAAGACCAACCAGGCUUGACUCAAACUCAGAAAUCCAUCUUUGCCUCCCAAACACUGGGAUCAAAGAAAGGUGUGUACCCCCAUAUCUGU
rnacentral:lncRNA from 1 species